AUUGUAACCCUCAACAAUUUUUGGUGCAAAAUCAGGCACUCUGUUGGCUCGAGUUGUCUUAUACUGUUGAAUUUUCAGAUAAAAUCCACCCAUGUCAGAUCCAUCAAGAGCCAAGGCCCGCUUAGCUGCAGCUUCAGUCUUAAAACUAAUUAUGGCGAUUCCUCUAAACUUCCCACUGUCAGGAAACUUCAUACAAUCAAUGCCAGUUAUAGUGCCA
rnacentral:misc_RNA from 1 species